AACGAACGCUGGCGGCAUGCCUAACACAUGCAAGUCGAACGAAGGCUUCGGCCUUAGUGGCGCACGGGUGCGUAACGCGUGGGAAGCUGCCCUUUGCUUCGGAAUAACAGUUAGAAAUGACUGCUAAUACCGGAUGAUGUCGCAAGACCAAAGAUUUAUCGGCAAAGGAUGAGCCCGCGUAGGAUUAGCUAGUUGGUGGGGUAAAGGCCUACCAAGGCGACGAUCCUUAGCUGGUCUGAGAGGAUGAUCAGCCACACUGGGACUGAGACACGGCCCAGACUCCUACGGGAGGCAGCAGUGGGGAAUAUUGGACAAUGGGCGAAAGCCUGAUCCAGCAAUGCCGCGUGAGUGAUGAAGGCCUUAGGGUUGUAAAGCUCUUUUACCCGGGAUGAUAAUGACAGUACCGGGAGAAUAAGCUCCGGCUAACUCCGUG
rnacentral:rRNA from 1 species